UACAGAGGUCCCGAGCGUUGUUCGGAUUCACUGGGCGUAAAGGGUGCGUAGGUGGCUUGACAAGUUUGAUGUGAAAUCUCCGGGCUUAACCCGGAAAAUGCAUUGAAUACUGUAGAGGCUUGAGGUUUGGAGGGGGGACUGGAAUUCUCGGUGUAGCAGUGAAAUGCGUAGAUAUCGAGAGGAACACCAGUGGCGAAGGCGAGUCCCUGGACAACACCUGACACUGAGGCACGAAAGCGUGGGGAGCAAACAGG
rnacentral:rRNA from 1 species